UACGUAGGGUGCGAGCGUUGUCCGGAAUUAUUGGGCGUAAAGAGCUCGUAGGCGGCCCUGUCGCGUCGGAUGUGAAAGCCCGGGGCUUAACCCCGGGUCUGCAUUCGAUACGGGCAGGCUGGAGUGUGGUAGGGGAGAUCGGAAUUCCUGGUGUAGCGGUGAAAUGCGCAGAUAUCAGGAGGAACACCGGUGGCGAAGGCGGAUCUCUGGGCAGUAACUGACGCUGAGGAGCGAAAGCGUGGGGAGCGAACAGG
rnacentral:rRNA from 1 species